CUUUCUCAGAUUUUAACAAAAUACGUUUACCUUGUGAUUUGAAACUUAACAUACAUGUAGUAUGGACUACAAACUUUAUAACUUUGAAGUUGUUGCAAAUGUGGAAAUGCAUGAUAUCCCCCCCCCCCCCCCCACACACACACACACACACACACACACACACACACACCUCACGUCUGAGGAUUGGCACCUCACAAACUAAGUGGUUCCUGUGGCCUAUUGUCUCCAUUGAAAACGAUUAAGAACAAUGUAAUUCAUAUGCUAAGCCAGUCCCUGAAAAGCACCAAAAGACAGAGGAAGAGUACGGACUUUUCUAAAAAGUAUUGUUUUCAGUCAACCAAAACACCAUUUCCAUGUGGAUGAAACGCUGAUAUGUCAAAAAAACCUUUGCAUGUACUGGAUACAGUUCCUGCUGUGGAAAGGCACCUCAUGGAAUGAAUGUUCUGGUCAUUAGGGAGAUAAAUAAAAUUCACGGUACCAUACAGAGGCCAUACUUUCUUUUCAUUUAAACAAACUAUGAUCUCCACAGGAGCUGAAGUGAAAUGAAAUACUUGGUCUCAUCAGGUGUAGGUGUAAAAUCCUGCAGGUACAUCAGAGAUUAAAGGAAGAUCUGUGAGGCUGUUAUCUCAGGCUCUUUUCCAACAGAGGGACAUCCCAUCCAGCAGCCUCUGAGGGUGAUCCCAGCUGUCUCUGAGGGACAGCUGACCGGCUCACACCUGCUUCUUCCAGUCCCACUGCCCCCAACAUCGAACAUGAUGGAACCCCCAUCCCCCAUCCCUCCCGAAUAUCAAACCCAGCCCAGCAACACAUUCAAAGUCUACACGUCACACUUUGUGAUGGUCUAUGCUCAUGUCCUCUAACCCUUCUCCUGUGUUAUUGUGUCCAUCUCUGUCCUUUUUUCUGUUUUCUUCUCUGCAGCAUUUAGAAACAUCGCUUAGCUAAACAUUGGCUGCUCCCUGCUACUACCUUCUCUUGGAAUUAAAACUACAUGUCGUCUGUUACACACUUGUCUGCUGCCCAUCCUCCAAACUGAAGGAAGUGUCGUUUGGCGGAGUUACACUAACAAACCAGAUUAAACUGUUGUUUUAUUUUAAAAUCAAAACUCUACAAAUAGUUUAAGAUGAACAAAGUUAGAACAUAAGACUUUAAGUAAAGCAUUGUUUGUUUGUUUGUUCGUUUUUUUUUUCACUCAGAUUUGUGUCCCUUCAGUGUUUUCCUGAAUAAAUUAACAUUGAUAUGUCCAAAGAAUCCAUGUUAUUUUUUAAGCUGAAAGCAAGAUUUAACCCAACUGAGAAAAAAACUGUCAUUCUGAUAACAUGUGGUUAUGGGUUCAGAUAGCAUAAACUACUUAGGAUACAGCGACUAUGUUGUCUUGUAUGUAUUUUAUGGCUGUAGUAUUUUAAACUCUAUACACUGUAAUGUUUGUGUCUAUCAUGUUACAGUAUUAAUUUCAUCAAUGAAAAUUAGGAUGAUAAUUGUUUGUCAGUUAGCCUUUUUUUCCAUGACAAAGAGGAGACAAUGACGUGCUUACACACACACACACAUAUAUGUAUAUAUAUAUCUAUAUAUUUGCAGUUAUCUCUAAAUAAUGAAUCAAAGUUCUAUGCAUGUAUCUCUAAAUAAACUAAUAAAUGAUAACUUCAGUGGCUGAUAUUUAGGAACUAGCAAAAUUGCAAAAACUUGUCAAGGGACAUGCAUUUUUUUUUUUUUUGUGACACUCAUCAUAAAAACACCAAAUAAGGGAUUCCCUCGUUGAAAACUGAUGCUCAUUUAUCCAGUGCACUUCAGAUAAUACAGGAUUAAUUAUGUGAGAUCCAGAGCUGUGUGAAAGUUGUAGGAGAGUCUCAAAGAGGCUUCUCUGAGCUUUAAACUGCAGAAUGAAGUAGUAUCACCUGCAAAUGAGACACCAGAUUGAGUGUGGAGCUGCUGACAUUUAACCCAGAGCCACUGACUGAUGCCAGUCUAGAACAGUUAUGCAACCAGGCGGUGAUCCGAUGCUGUGCCUUCUACUCAUGUCAGCCAGGGAUUCCUCCAGCUUCACAAGAUGCUGAAACUCCCAUCAGCCCACUCAAGUAUUCACUUAUUACAGCAAGAGUCCUUUAGGGGUCUUACAGAACAGUAAAUAAUUAAAUUGUGGGUUUUUUAAAGCAUGCUCUGCUGGUGGUGAGGUCCCGCAGGGCUGCAGGGUGUCGCGUUUCAUUACACAGAACAGAUCUUUUUGAAACCUUAUCGUAUUGACCUUAAACACUUUCUGACUUCUUCUCUCACUGCAUGUGUCAAAGGAAGUGAGCGUUAGUUCAUGGCCUUGCUGGACACUAAGUUGAAACAUAUACAGCGUGACCCCAGUGAAGGAAUCCAUGCCAACUGCACUGACCUGCGUCAGAAUAGCUCAGUGUCAGGCUGCAGCUGCGUCCUGUCAAACGCUGAGAGUACUAGGUGAGAGCAAAUUGUGUCACACCAGACAGGAACGGGAAAAAUCUAUCAUUUAAAUUUCCGCCAUGAGGAGUCAGAGUCGUCAGCACUUCCUUCAUUAUGAUAGGAGGCAGGGAAAGUAACAUUAUGUGCUUGGCAACCACAUACAAUGACAGAGAGCGCCUCUAUAAAUAACACCUUUAUGGUUGGGUGUAUUUAAAGCUCCUCCCCCACAUUCAAUUCAGCACCUGUCCAUGGAGAGGCUGCCUGGAGAUACAGAUCAGGAACACAAAAUCACAAUUAAGUGAAUAGCUCUGCCUUUAAAGACUCAAAAUUGUUGUUUAAGUAUUGAUAAUGUGAAGUCCAUUUAUCCAGAAGCUGACUUUAAAAGACUUAGAAAACAGUGAUGAAGGACAGACAGUUCCAGCUUCAAAUGGGGGGAAUUAUAAAGUGGCUCUAUUAAAUGCUCUGCUCAGAUUCCUCCUGCAGGUCUGAGUAGGGUUACAUGUUUCAAUGUUGGUCGUACUCCAUUGAAACCAAAACCUCAUGUCUCGUGUACACAGUGUGGUCAGGAGGGGGCUAUAUUUAAACCAGGCCUACUGGUCCAUCUGCACCCUGUCAAACAGGAGCCCCCACCAAAACCAAGACCCUGAUUCAAUUUCACAGAGUCAGUCUUCUACGCGUCUAGAACUUGACCAGAACUCUCUUAGCUUUUGCUAAACCCUCUGUAAAAGGAAAAGCCGUUUUCUAAACCCUAAUACUCUUUGUUCCCAGUGAGGACAUAAAGUCACACUGAGUCCAAAAUGUGAGCACAGCAGAAAAUAUUAUUUUCUCUUUCCCGAAUUAUGAUAUUCCUUUUAGAAGAUUAACCCUUUACACGCCAGGUUGUGCUCAUUGUGUCACUGAACAUUUUAUGAAAAAUAAAAAAUAAAAAAAGGAAAGAAACUAUUUAUUUCCCACAUAUCACAUGCCAAGAGGAAAAUUUUCUCUAUAAGAACAGUCUGGGUCAUGUUGGUGAUAAUCAGCUAAAUCAGUGAUGGUGUCUGUCAAAUAUGUGCUGCAUAAAAAAAAUCGGAUGUAGAGAUUAUUCCAGUCUUGCUCACUUAUUAAAAAUAAAUGUUUAUUUGUUGAAGUCGAACUUGUCAUGUGUUGCCUUGUAUAUAGUAUGCCAC